UUGAUAGUUCCGGAGAGGUUAUGGUAAAGCUGAAGCUAUUGCAGGCAGAGAACAAUGGGAGGCCAUUUUCGAAGAGGUUUGCUUUGUGUGGUUGUAAUCACAGGUUCCUUACACUAACAUCAGACAACAGGAUAAUGGCCAUCAGUGAGAAAGCUAAAGGCAAGGAAAUAAUGACAUUACAAACUGACGUCCCAAUAGUUAAAAAGGGAAAGAGUGAGUUUGAGAUAGAGGAAUAAGAUGCUUAUAGACACAUGGAAGCAUUUGAAACUGGUUUUGUGUGAGAUGACAA